AAGUCGUAACAAGGUUUCCGUAGGUGAACCUGCGGAAGGAUCAUUAAUGAAUUAAAAUUAAAAAGGUUGUUGCUGCUGGUCUCUCUUCGGGGAGGCACCGUGCACGCUCCUUUUUAUAUUCAUCCACCCCAAUCGUGCACUUACCGUAGGCCGGAGAAUUCUUUGGCCUAUGUAAUUUUAAACACACACCGUAAAAUAAAAUGAACGUAUACUUUUACCCUUUGCGGUAAAUAAUAAUAAAAUUAAUACAACUUUCAACAACGGAUCUCUUGGCUCUC
rnacentral:misc_RNA from 1 species